rnacentral:rRNA from 1 species
AUGAGUAGCACAGUAGGCCCGAUCAUGAGUUGGAAUGUCCGGGGCCUGAACAAUCCAGCCCGGCGAUCCGUAGUGCAGGACACGGCAAACACGCACCACCUCGCCAUUCUCUGCAUCCAGGAAACCAAGCUUGAAGAGUGGACGCCAGUGAUCGCCAGGGAAGUAGGAGGCCCAAGGCUUGAUGAUUGCAUUGUUCUACCAGCUAAUGGCACAAGAGGAGGCGCCGCUAUCUUCUGGGACUCAACCUCGGCUAGAAUCCAAUCCCACACGACCGGGGAGUUCUUCAUCACGGCCAAGGUCACCGUUCUAUCAUCAGGAGCUAGUUUUUGGUUAACAAUAGUCUACGGUCCAUCUGAGAGCACUCGAAAGGACAGUUUCCUGGCGAGCUAGCGAGAAGCGCCCCUCCCCGGAGAGCCAUGGCUCCUAAAUGGUGAUUUUAACAUCAUCUACGAGGCCCGUGACAAAAACAACAGCAAUAUAAAUAGGAGGGUCAUGGGUAAGUUUAGGACGGCAAUUGACGUCGGUGGCCUGCACGAAAUCAAAUGCAAAAAUAGGCACUUCACUUGGAGUAGCGAGCGCCAGGACCCAACCCUAGCGAGCAUAGACAAGUUCUUCUGCACAAUCGAGUGGGAGGUCAUGUUCCCGGAUUUCAUGCUGCACGCGGCGUCCACCUCAUGCUCGGAUCACUGCCCGCUGCUUCUAGCUACUGUUGCUGCCCCUAGGCUGGCGCCACGGUUCCGUUUUGAAUCUUUCUGGCCACGGUUCCCGUGUUUCCACGAGACGGUGCAACAAGCAUGGCAGCGGCCAGCCCCAGCGGCAUGCGCAUUCGCCCGCCUGAACAUCAAAAUGCACCGGGUAGCUAGGGACUUAAAAAUUUGGCGCAGAUCACUGUUUAGCGAUGCAAAAAUGCAGCUGCAGCUCGCCACUCUGGUGGUUCUCCGACUAGACAUAGCACAAGAACGCCGGCCGCUUACACAGAGUGAGUUUCACCUUUGA